GGGGGGUAGUUCCGGCAACGAGCGCACCCUUAUCCUUUGUUGCCAGCACGUAAUGGUGGGAACUCAAAGGAGACUGCCGGUGAUAAACCGGAGGAAGGUGGGGAUGACGUCAAGUCAUCAUGGCCCUUACGAGUAGGGCUACACACGUGCUACAAUGGCAGAUACAAAGAGAAGCGACCUCGCGAGAGCAAGCGGAACUCAUAAAGUCUGUCGUAGUCCGGAUUGGAGUCUGCAACUCGACUCCAUGAAGUCGGAAUCGCUAGUAAUCGUAGAUCAGAAUGCUACGGUGAAUACGUUCCCGGGCCUUGUACACACCGCCCGU
rnacentral:rRNA from 1 species